GGUUGAUGCACCUUCAGGGUAUCCUUUCUUUAUUUGCAGCUAAGGCUCUAUGGCUUAAGAGCAUUCCUUGGGGCGUGUCUACUCAUUAGUUUUUGCUCUGCAAGCUCCAGAAUGUGUCUACUAUAGCCUCUUUUAAAACUAUGACCUUAAACUGAAUCUGCUCAGGGAUGUACUCCUUAACUAAGCCUGCCCCUUGCUCAGUCCUGGGCCAAUCCUUACGUGAAUGUGUAUAGGCUCUCGGAAUACAAUUCCCAUGCUUGCUUUAUUGGAAGAUGUUUGGAAAGAACACCUUUGUUCGCCCUUAUCUAUUGCAAGUAAUCUUUCUCUACUCUUUUUAUAUAUUGACUGUGAUUAUUUUGGCUUGCACUCAAUGAUAUGUGACCCCAUUAUAUUUGACUACAAUAUAAUAAAAAAGAUCCUCACUCCAUGUGACCACAUAUCUCCAUUUCUAUACCUCUCUUCCUUACCUCAUUGUCUCUGACCUUCCAGUCUUCUCUGCUGAGAAAGUCUAUACAGGAUGAUCAUGCCAUCAAACACUUGAAACUAACAACAGUAACAAUGAGAAACUGAAGUGGAAAUUUAAGGGCUCUUUGGAAAGUCAUCUGUGUUGAUGGUGUUUUGCUGGGGCAGACACGUGCAGUACCAUUCUCCUGAAGCGGACCCAGGAGAGAGGAUGCUCUGCUAAAGCAAGCACGUGAACAGACACGUGAUGGAUUCUUAGCCAACUACACACAUGAAUUGGUCUACCUUACAUUGCAUAGUUGAGCUCCUUUUAUUGGGACUCCAUAGAAAGAAACACACCAAAAAAACCGCUGGUGUGCUGUGGCUUCUUGAUGCUGCAAGGCCCCGGGCCAAUUCACAGAGUGACGUCAGCUGAUACAGACUCACAUGGAGUUUGGCUAAGUCAGACUCACAUGCUGAGGCAAGACCUGUGGAGGACACCUGAUGUUUGGAGGAAAUAUAAAUAGGACUCAAUGGACAGUGACCAGGGCUUGGUGUAGAGCUAGCUGUGCAACACUUGUUGGUCUUGAAUCUUCUCUGACCUUCACUUCGCUGAGAGAAGUACAGCUGAGAACUUGUCCUGACAUCCCUGCUGGUCCAAACCCCUCCUGCUGACUUGUGCCGAUUUGGCUGAGGCAUGGCUGUGUCUGCUAGGACAUGCCACCGCUGCUGUUUGCUAUGCCAACUCAACUGCUGGUGUAUCUGUGAAGUUUUUGUCAGUGAUCGAGCUGCUGCUGCUGCUGCUGACCUGUGGACUGAAUUGCCAAUUUCCUGACAACACAGAUGUGAUUUGUUCCAAAGAACCAUUUCUAAACAGGUCCACUUCCUCCAUCUCCUUUCUUUUCUACUACCUCUGGUGGGUGGUGGACUACAAGGGAGGUUAAAGUGCUUAAGACCCAUCAUUAAUAAGUUUUGAAAAAAAUCAAAGUUAAACAACAAAGUCACACACACACACAGUGGCUUCUGCUAUGAUAAAACGAGAAGGCCAUGGGUCUCUCUGUGAAAUAAUUUUGCUUCUUACCCAGUCAAACCCAUAGACCAAGGGUGUUAACAGUCACAAUCAAUACAAAGGGGAGCAUGACAAAAUGACACACAGGGUCACAAAUCAGGAAAUCCAGAAUGUGAGAAAGUAAUAAAUGACCAAGUUCCUCAAGAACACCAAUAGCAAGAAAUUCGUUUUUUAAAGUGAUUAUUGUAUCUUUAAAAAGAUGAAACAUAUCAAGUCAAAUCUGACAGCUUAUAUGUGACCCCAACACUGGGGAGGAUGAGGCAGGAUCACCACAAUAUAAGACCAGCCUGGCUGCAUAGUCUGUUCCCUAAUGCAAUAUGCAGGCCCAAUUUAAACGGAAUCAAAGCAACUAUUUUAAAAAUUACAAAUAACAAUAUGUAUGGGACCAUGGUUUUGAUCUGAAACAUUAAAAAUACCUACGAAAGAAUUAAGCUAGAUAUCUGCUAUUAAGGAAUGGUAAAACCUUCUCACAGGAUACUGUGGCAUUAUUUUUUAGAUAAUUAGAUAUAUCUAAAUGCCAAUUGAGAUUUGCUUUAAAAUAAUCUGGAAUGGAGAUAUGUUGAUAUCAGUGGGUCUCAGAUCUACAAAUCAGAAGAGAUUAAAACACAAAUUCCUGGGCUUUGCCUUAGAGAUUCUGGUUCAGGAUCUGAGAUGAGGAUAAUGAUGUCACAUGUCUAGUAGUCUUUCAAGGUGGUGCUGAUCUUGGCAUCUCUAACACCCUGGAAUCUCCAACAAAAGCCACAAUUUUAAAUAAUGGCUUCUGAAGGCCUCCAUUCAGGGACUCCCCUGCCAAAUACCUGGCCUCACUCAGUUCACCACAAGGCCCCUCAGAGACUGUGACUAAACUGAAGACUUCUAGAGUGAAGGGUGAUUCUGCACUGAAGACACAAAACGACUGCUGGAAGUCAGAAGCACCAACUGCAGUGGUUCUCAAUGUUCCUAACACUGUGACCCUUUAAUACACUUCAUGUUAUAGUGACCCCCAACCAUAAAGUUAUUUUCAUUGCUGCUUCAAAACUGUAGCUUUGAUACUGUUAUGAAUCGUAAUGUAAAUAUCUGGGUUGUCUGAUGGUCUUAGGUGACCCCCUAUGAAAGGGUCAUUUGACCCCUAAAGGGGUCUCAACCCACAGGUUGAGAACCACUGACCUAGACAUGCAGAAGACAUCACUGUCCUUCCCCCUGCACUUUUUGAUUCAGGAAACCUGGAGCGGGACACAAUAGUUCACAUUCUUAAGAUAGUCCUGGCCAGUGCUGAUGCUCUUUAAAAUCAAGUAUCACUUCUGCUGUGCCCAACAAGUGUUAAUACUUAGCUCAGGGAGAAGCAUUUGUAUAGCUGAGUUGUUGAACUAAUCGCUUAUAGAACACUAGUUUUGCUUGAGAGACUGAUGGCAAACAGUGGUUAUUUGGUCCUGGGUAUUUGGUAAUUUUUCCUGAAGAAUAACUACUACAAAGAAAAUAACUGAUAUUUAUUCCCAAUGACAAAAUUUGAACUUUUAGGUGGAAGCUAGAAUUUUUGGGAAAUUUGUAUCAACUAUCUUGAAUGUAACUACAUAUCAAUAUUUAAGGAUUUUUUUUUGUAGUAAAAGUAAUGAUACUUCCAAAUG
rnacentral:lncRNA from 1 species